CACUUAUCGGUUUGUUUGAUGUUACAGCCAAGGGUCUGUAGCUCAGGUGGUUAGAGCACCGUCUUGAUAAGGCGGGGGUCGUAGGUUCAAGUCCUACCAGACCCACCAAGUUACGGGCGGCGGAGAGCGAUCUUGCCGUGAACUGGGGGAUUAGCUCAGCUGGGAGAGCACCUGCUUUGCAAGCAGGGGGUCGUCGGUUCGAUCCCGUCAUCCUCCACCAACACCUUGUGGUAGCCAAACGCAAGCAUCGAGAGAUCGGUGUUUGCGUUUGGCAUUGCCAAGACGAGUAGUAACUCGGCUGUUCUUUAACAAUAUGGAAUGUAGUAAAGGUGUCGCGGCGCGUUGAUGAGGCGCGCAAUUUAAACGCGACACUGGGUUGUGAUUGUAUCAACCAGUAUUACGAGUGAUCGAAAGACCGCUUGGAAUACGGCACAACGCGAGAACUCAGCCUAUAGCGAGACAUACUCGUUAUAGGGUCAAGCGAAUAAGUGCAUGUGGUGGAUGCCUUGGCGAUCACAGGCGAUGAAGGACGUAGUAGCUUGCGAAAAGCUGCGGGGAGCUGGCAAACGAGCUUUGAUCCGCAGAUGUCCGAAUGGGGAAACCCGGCCCGUAUGGGUCAUCCCUUGCUGAAUACAUAGGCAAGGGAGGCGAACGCAGUGAACUGAAACAUCUAAGUAGCUGCAGGAAAAGAAAUCAACCGAGAUUCCCAAAGUAGUGGCGAGCGAAAUGGGAACAGCCUUGUACUCUUUAGCAGUAUUGUUAGCGGAACGGAAUGGAAAGUCCGGCCAUAGUGGGUGAUAGCCCCGUACGCGAAAACAGUAUUGUGGAACUAGGUGUACGACAAGUAGGGCGGGACACGUGAAAUCCUGUCUGAAGAUGGGGGGACCAUCCUCCAAGGCUAAAUACUCGUGAUCGACCGAUAGUGAACCAGUACCGUGAGGGAAAGGCGAAAAGAACCCCGGGAGGGGAGUGAAAUAGAUCCUGAAACCGCAUGCAUACAAACAGUCGGAGCCUGGAAACGGGUGACGGCGUACCUUUUGUAUAAUGGGUCAGCGACUUACAUUCAGUGGCAAGCUUAACCGAUUAGGGAAGGCGUAGCGAAAGCGAGUCCGAAUAGGGCGUUCAGUCGCUGGGUGUAGACCCGAAACCAAGUGAUCUAUCCAUGGCCAGGUUGAAGGUGCGGUAACACGUACUGGAGGACCGAACCCACUAACGUUGAAAAGUUAGGGGAUGAGCUGUGGAUAGGGGUGAAAGGCUAAACAAACUUGGAAAUAGCUGGUUCUCUCCGAAAACUAUUUAGGUAGUGCCUCGUGUCUCACCUUCGGGGGUAGAGCACUGUCAUGGUUGGGGGGUCUAUUGCUGAUUACCCCGCCAUAGCAAACUCCGAAUACCGAAGAGUGCAAUCACGGGAGACAGACAUCGGGUGCUAACGUCCGGUGUCAAGAGGGAAACAACCCAGACCGCCAGCUAAGGUCCCUAAGAUUGGCUAAG
rnacentral:sRNA from 1 species